UUAUAAGCCCUAGUAAAACGCUUAUUGCAACCAGCAAAUGUACAAACGUAAUUUCCUUGAGACUUAGACUCUGACUUUGCUUUAGACGAAGACGAAUUUUCCGAUUUGUUUCCUACUAGCGAAUUCAAUGAUCGACUUCGAGGACGAGUAUUUCUAACUGACAAAUAAUCGUUCGACUUAGAAUUAUCAUUCUCUAUUUUUCCCAGCAGUUCGGUAUCUUGGUUAACAGAUAGACAUUCAGAAGAAUGUGAAAAGUGAGUAUAUAAUUGAGGUAUGGGCUCAUAAGCAUCAAAUCGUGAGCCAGCACUAUUUGAUCGAUGACGAGCCGUAUAUGUGGGUGACAUUUCAGGAGCACAAAGAUUAGCGUUUUGUAAGUCAUAAGAAUUUUCAUUCAUAGCAGGUUGACCAGAUACUGGAGAUGCAGACUGGCUAUAAGUGAUACUAAUGUCUGUUUGAAGAAGAGGAUUUGCUGGCAAACUAGGUCCAGAUUGGGAUUUGGAAGGAGAUGAAGGUACUACAUUAAUUUGUGGGGUACCCGAAAAGUUGUUUGAAUCAUAAUUCAAAACGGAAUUGCUUAAAGCGGUAGGAGAAAUAGGGUCAAAAACGUGUGUUGUUAAAGAGGCAUCUGCAUGGUCCUCAGAAAAAGGAGAAUUUACAGAACGAAUAGUAGAUUCUCUAGCAUUUUCGCUGUUUAAAGUCCUUCCGGAGUUUGGAACAAGAUAUGGGGAUGACUGGUGAGAAAAUUCAGCGGAAGGACUGUUCUCAAAUAUGAAAGAAGGUGUGGAAUGGUUAGACAAUAAAUCAACGGAAGGAUUCAAAUUGGUAUUAUCCGUAUCAAAAUCUAUACCAGUGUUGCUUUCACCAGGAGACGCGUUCGUAAAGGCCCCCAGGCUCCCGGAAGAAGGUGGUUGAAGGUAGUCAGCAAAAGAACCGGUUCCGGUAAUAUUUUGUUGAUUCUCCAUCAAUAAAGAUGGAUCUUCAAAAUCAACAGAAGGAAAUCUCUCUGAAUCAACUUCAGUUCCAGAUGCCUGUGACAUUACAUCAACAAAAUUAAAAGCAUCGGCUUCAUACAGAGCACCAACAGAACCUUGUAAAUAUGGAGAACUCGGAUUUGAAACAGAUCCUGAGGGAAGGAAGGAUGUUAAUAGCUGAGGCGAUGAAGAUGGAGAAAUUUCAGAAGCCGCAAUUGCACGUGAAACUGGUAAGAACUGAGAAGAAUCGAUAUUUGAAGACGGAAUACCAAUAUUAAACUCAUAAAUGGAUUGUCGUCUUGAGCCAACAUUGUUAACAGUAAAGUCGUUGGCGUUAUGAGUAGAACUCGAACCUUGAGUCAAGUCAAAUGCUUGCGGACUAUUUGAUGGAUUACUUAAAGGGCUAACGGAGUUUUCAAAUACCGCUUGACUACCGAAGCCACUGACUGAAGUAUCGUUCAGUUCUGUAAAUGAAAAAGUAGGUACAUUCCCGGUUCGAGGAUAAGAAUCAUAUUCAUCGGAUUUUGAAGACGUUUUAAAAGGCUCGGAGGUGUUGGGAUGGAGGUGCUGAAUAUUAUUUUUAGAAGGAUUGGAAAUUAAAGAAGAAGAAACUUCAGACGCAAGAGUAUCCUCAAAAAGGGGGAUAUCAGCAAGCGAAGUGUCAUUCAUGUACGUAUGCAACUCGCUAGAGCCUCCAAGAUCCGGCUUUGAAAGGUUAUCGUAUAAAGAAGAAGGAUUCAAGUCUUUGAAUCUACGAUUCGCUUCUUCUGACCUUUGACGCUCCAUCGAUGAAAUUCAUCAAAUAAUUAACUUUUGGAACGGUACGCUCUCAAAAAUAUUGUCUGAAGACUCACCAACUCUCUUUAAUUGAAUGGUUAGACAAAUUAUUUUUCAAAAAGCCUAUAACGUGAAUUUUUUGACCGAAUAGUAGAGUAAAGCUGGUUUGUAG